UAUUUACAUAAAUUACAUUUUAUUUAUGUUUUAUCUAUCUAAUAAGUAUGUCAAAUAAUUACAACUGCGUAUCUUAGUGGCACGUUUUAAGCAAAAACGAUAAUAUCAAAGAAAUAAUUAUAUUUCCAUUAGCUAAGGUUUCAGAUCGUGCAAUAAGAAGCUCAGAAAAUCAUGAAAUAAAAAUGAGAGAAAAAUAUGCCUCGAUUUAAAGCAGAGUCCAGUCUUUCCCACGCGGCUGCACGACAAAACGGCGUUCAAAAAAAAGCUCUUUUGCUAAUUGGUCGCUCAAAACUAAAGGACGCGGGGAAAUUCCCGGGGAUCUUGCGAGACGCAGUUCGUCCCGUGGGAUAUCAAGGAAAUUCUACGGAUCGGAGGCUUUUCAAAUAUUUAGCAGCAAUAUCCAAUUUCGCCUUCUGUAUCCCUACAAUUCCUCAUAGUUGAUUUGCCGAGGCCGCCGUUCGACUAAAAGCCAUUUUCAAUCGAUCGCAAGAUAAUUCCAGUGUGCUAGAAAAUUGCGGACAUCAGCGACACAUAGUGGCUCGUCAAUUUGGAAAUGACAAGGCGGUCGGUCGCGCGGACACCGCCAAAUGGAACUUCUAAAUGGAUAUCAGCGGCCGUGAAUGAAAGAAAGAAGGAAGGGAAGAAGAAAGGAAGGCAGGGAAGAAGGAAGGAAGGAAAGAGGAAGAACAGGCGGACGGCAAGGAAGAGAAAAAGAGCGAUUAAGGAUCAUAGUGAAGCGGGCACGCACUGGAAAUCGUAGGUCAAGAUAUCCAAUGGCGCUUUUACGGGCCGUGUGUCCGCGUGUCGGGAGAUACUAAAACUAAUGUAUUCAUGAGAUAAUUAUUUCUUGCAUUCAUUACGGGGCUGUAAAGUUUUUAUUGGCCGCUGGUCGAGCCGGUAAAGCGCGAAGCACCCUUACAAAGUUAGAGACGACUCGCUCUCUCGAUCUCGUCUCCUUUUUCUAUUUCAUUCGGGCCCGUUUACGGCACAUUUUUAAGGACAGUCCUUAGGGCCGAUAACCGAAACUCAAACAACUUAGCGAUAUCUGAAAUGUUAAAAGCAUUCUUCAAUAAUGUUUAAUGGCCAAUAUUCCACGACAGCAUCGAGCUAUGUAGCGGAAGGAAUACGAGAUGCUUCGCUUUGCAUUUUUAUUUACAUCGCUGAAGGAUUAAAGUGAUCAAAUAAUAAUAUUAAAAAUAACUUCAUCGUUGAUAAAAUUUCCUUUUAAAUGUCACAUUUAAAAGAAAAAAUGAUAUCAAAAAAUCAAUACUCUCUAUCUGUCAUUAUACAUACGAGCAUAUAAAACUGUGUAUAUCAGUGAUAUCAAUAAUUUUGCUUUAGACAUAAUCUAUACAUGACAGCAAAAAUUUUAUAUUGAAUGCAUUUUAACAUUUCUUUCCUGAUUUUUAAUUAUAUUAUAUACUUUAUAUAGAGUGCAUACAUAAUUAAAUUUAAAAGCAUAUAUACUAUUAAGUUUAUAUUGUAAGAAUUUACGUGAGUUUUAAUUUUGUUUAUUGCGUAUAGAUACUCUAUUUGUAUAAAGUCUAACAUCAAAUAUCUGUAUAAUAAAACAUUUACUCGAUUAAAACGAGAAGAAAGUAUCAAUACCGCGCGAAGAUUAAUGAUUAAUUGGCCGCGCAGGAAUAUCGAUGACGGCGCGACUGCUCCGACGAGCCUUAUUCACCUUUGUACAUCCGCCAAUUACAUCUCUUCAAUUAGAGUCAUUUCCGUGCAACAUCGUUUCAAACAUUAAAUGAUAAAGGGAUGCCCGUUAAAAAUUUUUUCAUCCGCAUGACGGGCCGUUUUUUCUUUCCCGCUUCAAAUAUGCAAAUCGCGACUUAAUGGCCAAUCAGAGAGCUCGGUUGGAAAUUACGCCGCGCUCUCCGAUGUCUACUUCAUUAAGCGUCUUUACAGCUCUGAAACCGUCUUCUCUCUCUUUCUAUUCCCCGACUUCAUUACUAUUAAAUAGACAUCGCAAUUCUCUUGUGCAAUCCCGAUAUGCCGCUUGAUAGAAUACCGGUGUAUCUAGCGACCGUCGUAUCAUAUUUCGAUACGAUA